CUUCUUUAUCUCAUGUAUUUGCGUUGCUGUCGUGACUUGUCUCUAUCUUGCUCUCGGUUUCUCCUUGUGUUGUGGACUGUUUUAGCACUUCGUAGAUCGUUCCCGUAUCAAGCUGAUAGCCAAAAAGGAGUUUGAUCAUUCAUUUUUCUAUACAAAAGAAGGCGGCAAAAAGAAUGUGGUUGAUGAAAGCUUCAAAGAAGUAAGGAUGGCAAGCCUGACGUACAUCUGCACAGAAAGGAAACCAGAAGAAAGGCCAACGAUGAAGGAUGUUUUAGACGUUUUGACAGAAGCAAUGAAGAUGGAGGAACGAAAAAGAGAUGAAAAUGAAGCCGCAGCUGUCCCCUGCUUGGCUUAGCUGAAGGAAAUGAUCUCGAAGAAAAUGACCUUUUCAGAUCUUUUACGUGUAUGUAUGAACCAUUUGUAAUUCCUUGCAGAGGGCCUUACACAUACACCUUCUGCAGUUGCUGUCAAUGUGGUGAUCGAACCAUAGGGUUUAAUUCUAAUGCAAGAUCAGAUACCCUCAACUACUUUUUAGCGAUGAAUGAUGUAACGAUCCUCCGAGUUAUGAUUUUGUUAAUUUUACUUGUUUAUGACUUGCGGGGAUGAGUAACAUGAUUUCCGAGGUGGUAGUAUUGAUGGUUGUUGAGAAGGAAUAUGAUUGUUGAUUGUGUGAAGCCAAGAAUCUGUAACUUUGCUAAGUUCUGAAAUGAUCAAGAAAAGAAAGUCCUCUUAGCCAUUCAACAUUAUUCUCAUCUGGCUUUUCAGAAUACAUACUCAGUGUAUUCCCACCUAGUGCGGUCUGGGAGGGUAAAAUGUUCGCAGUCCAUACCACUACCUCCGAAGAAGUAGAUAGGCUGUUUUCGGUAGACUCCCGUCUCAGGAACAUACUCAAAUCAACAACUUGCAAAUUUGAGUUGCUCUUCGUAUUUGCUUGUUGUGAUUGAACUAGGAAGGAAAAUCUCAUGUCAUUUAUCGGCAUACAAGUAGCUAACUUCUCUCUAAUUUAUAAACAUCUCUUUAACAUCUCUUUCUAUAGCUCAAAUUCGAUCUGUCUAUAGCCCUGCAGUUGUUUUUUUCUCGAUUUGGUAUCAAUUCUGAUCCUGACGAACCACUAUCACACUAUGAUUAAUGAGUAAAACAGGUCGGAGGAUGGACACAGGAGUACAAAGGGCUGACAUUUGUUACGGUAAGAGGUGCCGGUCAUGACAUGAAGUUGCUCUACAUAGACCGAAGCAAGCUCUCACUCUUGUCUAGUCAUUCUUAGCAGGAACAUCUAUGCCUAGUUCGGAACAAAUUAGUGACUCUUAGAAUUCUGCAUGGUGAGAGUGAAAAGUAGUGGUGGAUUCCUGUUCGGUGCACUAAACUUCUGCUAUGCACGGGGUCAGAUAGGUUGUUUUUUUCUCGUGACCUCAUGGUCAACAUAACAACAACUUUACCAGUUACGUUAAGGCUCUGGCCUUUUCUUUGAAAGGAUUAUUGUGCUAUGGUGAAAUAUAAGACAAAAAUAGAAUAGCAAAGCAUCUAGUACCCUCCUUAAUUAUGACUAAAUUUGCUACGACACACUCCAACUUCACGGGGGUCUUGUUAGCAUAUCUUUUGUCAACCUUUUUAGCUAACAUGACACCUUUGACGUGGAUUCCAUUUUAUGUAAUAAAGGUGCUAUGUCAGGCGACAAAAAUACCCUAAAAUUGAGUUCAUGGGGUAAUAGAACUCCUGUGAAGUUGGAGUGUAUCGUAACACCUUUGGUCAUAGUUCAGGGGUACUGGAUGCUAAUCUCAAAAUAAAAAGCAAGGAAGGUGAAAUAAGGGCUAUUUUGGAAAGACCCUCGGCUCGACCAACAAACAUAGCCAACUAACACCAAAUCAGUCGUUACAUAAAAAAAACUUUUCCUCCUUACAAAAGGAAAUUAAGAUUCAGACGAUACAAUAAAAUUUAAGUAACAAUCAAAACCAUACGGUGGAACAUUUUUGGAGCAAUCUUGUCUCUUGUUUAACUGAUGAAAACUUGAGCUUCACAUCCCUACAAAAAACUUCCAUAUGAUGAGAUUCAUAUCUACUAUCCUUUACCUCCUUCAACUUCACUCUAAAAACCACAAAUUCAUUUGUCCUAUUUUCUUUACUUAUUCUAUUAGCAACGUAGUCAUCCAUUAUCUUCACUGAAAAAUUACCAAAAGUCACCUGUAUCGACGAACGCUCACCUUUCUGCUGAUGAUAAAGGUCUAACAUAUUCAACCAGACGAUAUUCUCCUCGUAGGAAAUAUAAACCACCAUGUUUUCGUACUCAACUUCAUGCGGUGCACGAUUUUCAACGACGAAAUCGAUAGUCAAGUUUUGAGCAUGUAGAGAUGAAUAAGGCCAUCGUGAAAAACUAAUAUUAGAUGUGAUUGCUUCAACAGAAAAUUUAGGUAUUGUUUGGCUGUCAGACCAAAGACCAAAAAAAAUCAAAGAAAUUAACAAUAAAAUAGGGAGAAAUAAUAUAGUAACUCCUAUUUUAGGAUACUUAUCAAAUAUGAGAUGACAAAAAUAAUUGUUUGGACAACCACAACAUUGAUAAUCAUGGUCUUGUUCAUAGGAUGUUCUUUCUUCUUUGGAAGCCAUAUAAGACACUUAGGUCAACAAAAAUAACAAAACCCUAAAAUAAUAUAUGAUAAAAGUUGAAACUUUUAAGUUAAUUAAACUACAAGUAACAUGUAAUAUCAACUAUCAAGGGAUAUAGAUAGAGCCGUCAAUAUGUAUCGAUCCAAUCUAACAAAAUUAUAGGACACUUUGGUCAAGAAAAAUAACAAACCCCUAAAAUAGGAUAAAUUCAAUUCAAUUCUAAUCCUAUUUAAGGUAGGAUUCUUUGAGGGACUUUCACAAAAAUAUGUUUUUUUUUUUUAAACAAAAUCAAUAUACAAUUUAUUGAAAAAUUUCCAUGUUGCCCUUGCUCUUUAUAUAUAUAUAUUUUUUUUGAAAAUACAAAUAUUGUAAAGCUCCAAGAAGUUAUCCCACUGUUAAUUGAGGCUAUACUACACAAAUAGAGUGCAUAUAGAAAUAUAUUAAAAGGAUAAAUUAUUAAAAGUAUCCUUGGAAUAGUUGAUGUGUGACAUUGUGCAAUGAUAAAAAACGGGAUAAUUUAUUCAAACACAAUAUUUAUUAAAAUAAUAUAGUAUAAUACAAUACAUUAAUGAAACAAUGUGUGACGACCAUCCAAAUACAAUGCCCAUAUAGAUUCUAUCGUUUUACUUCGUCAUUACCUAAUGUCAUAAAAUAACAAUUUAAAGUACAAGAAAAAAUGAAAAAAAAAAUUAUAUAAGAUAACAAUGCAAUCAAAGUUAUGUUGGAUUUAUAUGACAUGAGAAAGAUUGUUAGGGGUAAGGAGUAUACACAAACCUGACCCCUACUUUGUGAAGGUGAAGGGUUGUUUCAAAAAGACUCUCGGCUCAAGCAACAAACAUCAAAGUAGCUAAUAGAACAAUACAAAAGUAAAAAGAACAUAGAAAAUAAUAAGAAAAACAUAACAUAGCAUAACAACUAAAGUAAUAACUGAAGCACAAUGAGUCAGUAACACCAAAUUUGCCGUUACAUAAAAAGAAACUUUUCAUCCUUACUUAACGAUGAAAUCAACAGUAAGGAUGUAUGGUGCGGUUUCUAGAUCUACGGUCCCCAGAGGUGGAGCCAGACUAGUAAUAAAGGGGACAUUUUUUACCAUUGGAACAUUUUUGUAGCAAUCUAACUUCUUGUUGAACUUGUGAAAACUUGAGCCUCACCUUCCCACAAUUAAAUUUCAUACAUACAGAUUCAUAACCACCUUUUACCUCCACUGUAAAAACCACAAAUUCACUUGUCCUAUAUUUUCGUUAGUGAGAGCAUAAGUAUCAUUGUCGUCCAUUAUCUUGACCGGAAAAUCACCAAAAGUCACCUGUAUCGACGAACGCUCACCUUUCUUCUGACGAUAAAGACCUAACGUAGUCAACCAGACAAUCUUUCCCUUGUACGAAAUCGAAGCCUCCAUGUUGUUAUAUUCAACUUCAUCCUCAAAGGCACGAUUUUCGACCACGAAAUCGAUAGUCAAGUUCUGAGCAUGUAGGGAUGAAUAAGGCCAUGGUGAAAAACUAAUAUCAGAAGAUGUGAUUGCUUCAAUAGUAAAUUUGGGCAAAGAUUAGACAAACCAAUAAACAAAAUCAUAGACAGAAACAAAAUAAUAGGGCCGAAAACCAAUAAAAUAAUUCCUAGUAAAGGAUGCUUUUUAAAAAAGUUAUUAUCAUUUUGUUCAUUGGAUGAAACAUCAAUAACAAUAGAGGGAUUGGUUCUUUCUUCCUCCAAAGCCAUAACUUAGGGCUAACACAAAAUAAUAUAAAACACUUAGGUCAAGAAAAAUAACAAUAUCAAAACCCUAAAAACAAUUGAUGGAGUUUUAUGUAUUUAUAGAUAAAUUUAUUUAACAUAAACCUUUGGGAUUCGUUUCUCAGAAAGUUCGUUUCAUAGUAAUAUUAUUUUACAUAAAUUCUAAUUCUAAAAAAAAUUUACAUUAUUACCAAAUGAUAGAUAUUUUAAGGCUUUAGAUCAUCUCAUCAAGGGAUGGGAUCUGAUCCCGGCCUCUGGUAAGGGAUCUUCCGGUAUUGCUCAAUGCAUAUCCAGUAAACGUGCCAUUCGUCUGGAUAUGCAUUGAGCGAGAUUGGAGGAUCCCUUACCGGAGCGAAUUCCAUUCCUUGAUCAUUAUCCUCCUUCUCAAUGCUUAUUUGUAAUUGUAAGUGUGGGGGUUAUUGUUCCACUGAAUGCAUGCAAGCCGUGGGAACAGUCUCGUGCAGAAAUGCAAGGUAAGGUUGCGUAGAAUAUAUAAGACCCUUGUGGUCCAGCUUUUUCUCGGACCCCACGUGUAACGGGAGCUUCAGUGCACCGGCCUGCCAAAUGAAAUGAUUUGGAUUUGUUGUUGGAAUAAAUUGAAGAACACCACUAUUAAUUUGUUUUAGUUUUAAAAAAGCUCAUUGAGGAAGAACACGCGGCUCUAUUUAGCUAAGGAUGUUCAAGAUUUAAUACGCAUGUGUAAGAAGAGUAUUAUUUUGAGCUAUGUAUACUUACACACAGUAUUCUUGUUUAGAAGAAAGGCCAACGAUGAAGGAUGUUUUAGACGUUUUGACAGAAGCAAUGAAGAUGGAGGCCAAGCCAAGGGGAAGAAACGAAAAAGAGAUGAAAAUGAAGCCGCAGCUGUCCC
rnacentral:lncRNA from 1 species